rnacentral:rRNA from 1 species
CCCGUUAUAGUUUGAUCCUGGCUCAGGACGAACGCUGGCGGCGUGCCUAAUACAUGCAAGUCGAGCGGACAGAUGGGAGCUUGCUCCCUGAUGUUAGCGGCGGACGGGUGAGUAACACGUGGGUAACCUGCCUGUAAGACUGGGAUAACUCCGGGAAACCGGGGCUAAUACCGGAUGCUUGUUUGAACCGCAUGGUUCAAACAUAAAAGGUGGCUUCGGCUACCACUUACAGAUGGACCCGCGGCGCAUUAGCUAGUUGGUGAGGUAAUGGCUCACCAAGGCAACGAUGCGUAGCCGACCUGAGAGGGUGAUCGGCCACACUGGGACUGAGACACGGCCCAGACUCCUACGGGAGGCAGCAGUAGGGAAUCUUCCGCAAUGGACGAAAGUCUGACGGAGCAACGCCGCGUGAGUGAUGAAGGUUUUCGGAUCGUAAAGCUCUGUUGUUAGGGAAGAACAAGUACCGUUCGAAUAGGGCGGUACCUUGACGGUACCUAACCAGAAAGCCACGGCUAACUACGUGCCAGCAGCCGCGGUAAUACGUAGGUGGCAAGCGUUGUCCGGAAUUAUUGGGCGUAAAGGGCUCGCAGGCGGUUCCUUAAGUCUGAUGUGAAAGCCCCCGGCUCAACCGGGGAGGGUCAUUGGAAACUGGGGAACUUGAGUGCAGAAGAGGAGAGUGGAAUUCCACGUGUAGCGGUGAAAUGCGUAGAGAUGUGGAGGAACACCAGUGGCGAAGGCGACUCUCUGGUCUGUAACUGACGCUGAGGAGCGAAAGCGUGGGGAGCGAACAGGAUUAGAUACCCUGGUAGUCCACGCCGUAAACGAUGAGUGCUAAGUGUUAGGGGGUUUCCGCCCCUUAGUGCUGCAGCUAACGCAUUAAGCA